rnacentral:rRNA from 1 species
AACGAACGCUGGCGGCAGGCUUAACACAUGCAAGUCGAACGCUCGUAGCAAUACGGGAGUGGCGGACGGGUGAGUAACGCGUGGGAACGUGCCCUGAGGUACGGAAUAACUGCGGGAAACUGCAGCUAAUACCGUAUGAGCCCCGUGAGGGGGAAAGAUUUAUCGCCUUAGGAGCGGCCCGCGUCGGAUUAGCUAGUUGGUGGGGUAACGGCUUACCAAGGCUUCGAUCCGUAGCUGGUCUGAGAGGACGAUCAGCCACACUGGGACUGAGACACGGCCCAGACUCCUACGGGAGGCAGCAGUGGGGAAUCUUGCGCAAUGGGGGCAACCCUGACGCAGCCAUGCCGCGUGAAUGAUGAAGGCCUUAGGGUUGUAAAGUUCUUUUGCCCGUGACGAUGAUGACGGUAACGGGAGAAUAAGCUCCGGCUAACUUCGUGCCAGCAGCUGCGGUAAUGAUGAGACGU